GGCGAGAUGGCCGAGCGGUCUAAGGCGCUGGUUUUAGGCACCAGUCUCCUCGGAGGCGUGGGUUCGAAUCCCACUCUCGUCA
rfam:Steinernema glaseri strain NC unplaced genomic scaffold GLAS_1068, whole genome shotgun sequence.